rnacentral:rRNA from 1 species
UACGGGGGGAGCAAGCGUUGUUCGGAUUUACUGGGCGUAAAGGGCGCGUAGGCGGCCAACUAAGUCCGACGUGAAAUCCCAAGGCUUAACUCGGAAAGGUCAACUGAUACUGUGCGACUAGAGUGCAGAAGGGGCAACUGGAAUUCUCGGUGUAGCGGUGAAAUGCGUAGAUAUCGAGAGGAACACCUGCGGCGAAGGCGGGUUGCUGGGCUGACACUGACGCUGAUGCGCGAAAGCCAGGGGAGCGAACGGG